rnacentral:ncRNA from 1 species
UUUAUUUUUGUUUGUUAUAAUAGUUUAUUUUAAUUGUAUUUAAUUUUUUUUUUUGAUCAAAGUUUUAUUCUUGCUUUAUUUUAAUUUAUUAGGAUAUAUUAUAUACGGUUUUAUUUUUUAAAUAUUAGGAUGUAGUAAUUAGAUUUAAAAAUUUAAUAACUUAAGAAUUAGUAAUCCUUGAAGUAGAGGUUAAUGUCGUGCCAGCUACCGCGGUUAUACGUCAUUUGCAUAAUUAAUUGUUUUGGUGGCAGAUAUUUUUUAUAUGGAAGAAUAUUAUAUAAUUUAUGGUGGAAUAAUUAUUGUUUAUUUAUUUUCUAUUUUUUUUUCUGUAAUGGCUAUAGUUUAAACUGGGAUUAGAUACCCCAUUAUUUUAGUUUUAAUUUUUUUCCAGGGUAGUAUUAGUUUUUUAUGAAAUCUAAAGAAUUUGGCGGCAUUUUAUCUUUUUAGGGGAACCUGUUCUUUAAAUGAUAAUACACGAUUAGCUUUACUAUAUUUAAAGGUUUGUAUACUUCCGUUAUCAGGAUAUUUAAUAAUAAUAUAUUCUUGUUUUUAUAUAAUAAAAUAUUUCAGGUCAAGGUGCAGCUUAUGUUAUAGUAUGAAAUGGGUUACAAUAAUAUUAUUUAUAUGGAUUUUUUUUUUAAAAUUUAAGAUGAAGGUGGAUUUAUUAGUAAGUUUUUAUAAUUAUAAGUUCUGAAUUAGUUCUAAUUUGUGUACAUAUCGCCCGUCAUUCUCAUAUUUGAGACAAGUCGUAACAUAGUAGAUUUACUGGAAAGUGAAUCUGGUUG